rnacentral:rRNA from 1 species
UACGGGGGGGGCAAGCGUUGUUCGGAAUUACUGGGCGUAAAGGGCUCGUAGGUGGCCAACUAAGUCAGACGUGAAAUCCCUCGGCUCAACCGGGGAACUGCGUCUGAUACUGGAUGGCUUGAGAUUGGGAGAGGGAUGCGGAAUUCCAGGUGUAGCGGUGAAAUGCGUAGAUAUCUGGAGGAACACCGGUGGCGAAGGCGGCAUCCUGGACCAACACUGACGCUGAGGAGCGAAAGCCAGGGGAGCAAACGGG